AAUAAUAAAGUUUUUGUGUAAUCCUCUUGAAUGAUUCUAGCUAAUUUUGGAGAUGAUGUAUCCCAAAACAAAAAAUUAUCACCAGUUUUUAGUCUUUUUCUAGCUAAAUAGUCAGCACAUCUAUUGGUCUGUCAGCACAUCUAUUGGUCUCUCUAUAAAUUUGUACAAAAAAUAUUCUUCAGUCAUUUUUUCCAGUGCAACAAUUCUUCUGACUGGAGAAUUGAGAUGUUUCUUCAUAUUUCUUUCACUAUUUAGCAGCUUAACAACAGCCGUCGAAUCGCACUCCACAAUGAUUCUCUUCAUUCCCAUAGCCCAAGCUAAUUUCAAGCCUUCCAUGACACUCCAUAGCUCUGCUGUGGAAGCUGUGCAGCUGCCAAUCCUACAGGUAAAUCCAGCAACCCAUCUUUCGUCCUCAUUUCUCACCAAACCACCGCAGCCAGCGCAUCUCGUGUUCCCCUGUAAAGACCCAUCUGUAUUAAGUUUUACCCAUCCUUUUGGCGGUGGCACCCAUCUGAUGUGAAUCUCUUGUUUCAUCUUCAAUCUUUUAAUCAGCAGAUCUUGCUCCUCAGUAGAGGGAGGUUUCUUUGUCGCUGCUUCUCCUGAAUCAUCAGCAAUUCAGCACCGUUCAUGACUUCUCAAAAAGUUCUGGGAUCAACUGUACAGAGAGAAAACACUCUGUGUCUAACGGCUAUGUUUUACAAUGUUAUUCUCACUAAAAUUUCCAUCUUGUCAUGAGGAGAUUAGGUUAGCAGAAAAUUGUAAUUAACAUCACUGAUUUUUAUUGAGUUAAGAACGGGCUUGACUUUGUUGGCCUUUUUUUUAUUUUACGUUUCUUAGGUAUACAUAAAGGGUCUUAGACAAAAACGCCUCCAUUGCCAUGAUAGCGGACAUUAACACAAAAAGAAAGUUAUACACACACAAAAAAAUACACAAAUGAAAAGUUAUAAACGUGACAAAAAAAAGUUGCAUCAUUGAAAACAAUUUUUUUUUUUUAUAAUUAUUGAAAACAAUUUAAAUUCAUCAAAGUUGUAUGAUUGUAUCCAUUACCCCUUUUAAGCCAACAUUGGUAUGACC